UACGGAGACUGCAAGCGUUACUCGGAUUUACUGGGCGUAAAGCGUACGUAGGCGGACAUAUGUGUCAGGUGUGAAAUCCCGAAGCUCAACUUCGGAACUGCGCCUGAAACUGUAUGUCUAGAGAUUUGGAGGGGUAAGCGGAAUUCCUGGUGGAGCGGUGAAAUGCACAGAUAUCAGGAGGAACUCUCAUGGCGAAGGCA
rnacentral:rRNA from 1 species